GACGAACGCUGGCGGCGUGCUUAACACAUGCAAGUCGAACGGAAAGGCCCCUUCGGGGGUACUCGAGUGGCGAACGGGUGAGUAACACGUGAGUAACCUAUCCUUGACUUCGGGAUAACUUCAGGAAACUGGGGCUAAUACCGGAUAGGAAUCCUUGCUGCAUGGUGGGGGUUGGAAAGCUUCGGCGGUUUUGGAUGGACUCGCGGCUUAUCAGCUUGUUGGUGGGGUAGUGGCUUACCAAGGCUUUGACGGGUAGCCGGCCUGAGAGGGCGACCGGCCACAUUGGGACUGAGAUACGGCCCAGACUCCUACGGGAGGCAGCAGUGGGGAAUAUUGCACAAUGGGCGGAAGCCUGAUGCAGCAACGCCGCGUGCGGGAUGACGGCCUUCGGGUUGUAAACCGCUUUCAGCAGGGGCGAAGCUUGUGGUGACGGUACCUGCAGAAGAAGCACCGGCUAACUACGUG
rnacentral:rRNA from 1 species